UCGAGAAUUUUUCUCAAUGGGCGAAAGCCUGAAGGAGCGACGCCGCGUGGGGGAUGAAGGGUUUCGAUCCGUAAACCCCUGUCAUUUGCGAACAAGGGCCAUUCAUGAAUAAUGGGUGGCUUGAUAGUAGCGGAAGAGGAAGGGACGGCUAACUCUGUGCCAGCAGCCGCGGUAAUACAGAGGUCCCGAGCGUUGUUCGGAUUCACUGGGCGUAAAGGGUGCGUAGGUGGCUGGGUAAGUUUGAUGUGAAAUCUCCGGGCUUAACCCGGAAAAUGCAUUGAAUACUACAGAGCUGGAGGGUUGGAGGGGGGACUGGAAUUCUCGGUGUAGCAGUGAAAUGCGUAGAUAUCGAGAGGAACACCAGUGGCGAAGGCGAGUCCCUGGACAACACCUGACACUGAGGCACGAAAGCUAGGGGAGCAAACAGGAUUAGAUACCCCCGUAGUCC
rnacentral:rRNA from 1 species